ensembl:lncRNA
GGAAAUAUUUUGGAGAAAUGGUGGGGCUGUGUGUCCAUCUUUUCUGUCCAAAAUUCAGAGAUUAUUAAAAAUUUAACCUACCAAGUCAGAGGUAUAUUCUUCCAAAUUUUUUCAGGACAAAUACUAAUCUCUAUUCUUUUAUUGCUUAAUUCUUUUUUUGUUUGUUUGUUUUUUUGUUUUACCAGACAUAAAAAGUCAUUUAUUUAUUUUGUUUUUUUGUUUGUUUUUUGUUUUGUUUUGUUUUGUUUUGAGACAGGGUUUCUCUGUGUAUUCUGGCUUUCCUGGAACUCACUCUGUAGACCAGGCUGGCCUCGAACUCAGAAAUACGCCUGCCUCUGCCUCCCAGGUGCUGGGAUUAAAGGCGUGCACCACCACUGCCUGUGGUGGUGGUGUGAAGGCCUGGCUUACCUACCAUGGUUCUUGCUUCUGGAGGAACAGCGUGCUCAGUGCAGUGUGCAGUCUCAGGUGAGGAGAGACCUGAAGAUCAUAGCGCUCACAGUGUCAUGUAGACAGAGGAAAGGAGCAUGGGACAGAACGCUGGAGGGGUGAGGAAAAGGAAGAGUUGUGUGGAUCACAGAGGCAAACAGCUGAACCACAGGAAGAGGAGUAAAUGCAUAAUUGAAAGGCUCAACAUUCUAGCCCCACUGUUCUUUGUGAUGUCUACUUGAUUCUUUGGCUCUGCAGAUCUAUUGAUUAUUUUCAGCUCAUAUGUAGAAACAGUGAUUCUUUCUUUCCUGGAAGUACUGGGAAAAGAUGAAUUACUUCUUCCAUGAGUCUUGGUUAUCAGAUGGAAUAGAAAUGCCCACUCUACAGAAGAAUAAUGCCCAGCAUACUUAUUCAUAAGAGAAAUGCAAUUAGAAUGCUACUUCAGAGCCACUAAAAAGACUGAAAGUACAAAGUACAAAAGACUGAAAGACUUAAAAUUGGUUGAGAUGCACAACAAUGCACAACAAUGGCAGCUUGAACCUACUGUAUAGUGCUGGUGAGAAUACAGUAUUGCUUGAACAAACAAACAAACAAACAAACAACCCAGUGAGCUUUGGUCAACAGCUUCUUAUAAACUAGACUCCAAAACUAGAUAUUUGUGAAAGGAAAGUGGUUACAAAUGUACACAUGGAGAUUUCUUCCAGCACAUUCACAGACUCAUUUUUCUUUUUCGUAACGAUUGCACAGUGUGAACAGUGGGUGCUCGUGGAUGAGCCUCUAGGAAGCUGGUUACUCACUUCAUGGGUUAUUACUCAGCAGUGGAGAGAAUGACUACUAACAUAUGCAGAGCAUUGACUCAUCUAAGAGAUGUGCUGAAUGAGAAAAGCUGGGCAUAAAAGAAUCCCCAGAAGUUCAUGUAUAUGAAGUUCUGAACAUGUAAAGUUAAUCUUUGGUGAUAAAAAUCAUAUUGGUGCUUACAAAAUCAUGGGGCUGAUAGAAAAAAAGACUGAAGACAUUUUCCAAAGUGAUGAAAGGUGUCAUCUAUUGAUUACAGCUUUUGCUGCUAGAGAAUCCACUUGUUCAUUAAAUUCAUAUUUAUGAUCUAUUCAUUUUAUAGUGGGUAAAUUGAAUUUUGAUAAACAAUAAAACAUUAUAAACCAUGCUGCUAAAUUGUUCA